rnacentral:rRNA from 1 species
GACGAACGCUGGCGGCGUGCUUAACACAUGCAAGUCGAACGGAAAGGCCCUGCUUUUGUGGGGUGCUCGAGUGGCGAACGGGUGAGUAACACGUGAGUAACCUGCCCUUGACUUUGGGGUAACUUCAGGAAACUGGGGCUAAUACCGGAUAGGAGCUCCUGCUGCAUGGUGGGGGUUGGAAAGUUUCGGCGGUUGGGGAUGGACUCGCGGCUUAUCAGCUUGUUGGUGGGGUAGUGGCUUACCAAGGCUUUGACGGGUAGCCGGCCUGAGAGGGUGACCGGCCACAUUGGGACUGAUAUCGGCCCCAGACUCCUACGGGAGGCAGCAGUGGGAAUUAUGGCACAAGGGGCGGAAGCCUGCUGCAGCACCGCCGCGUGGGGGAUGACGGCCUUCGGUUUGUAAACCGCUUUCGCCUGUGACGAAGCGUGAGUGACGGUAAUGGAUAAAGAAGCCCCGGCUAACUACGUG